CAUCUGCAAACAGGUCACAGAUUUUACCAGGCAGAAAGAGGAACUGAACUGGCACUGAAGCUUUCCCAGAUACUGAACCACAUUGGGCCUCACAGAGAAGCUAAACAAUGAGCAGGGCUGGUUUGCUGGGAGAAACCGAGCGGCUUGUCAGGUCAAAACGAAAUACCAUCUGUGGGUGGAUGAGGAUUUUUUAUUCACGGAAGAAACAAAGCUUGAAAAGUUGGCAGAUGUGUUGGAAAAAUGUGAUCAAAUUUAAAUAAAAUUUACCUGGACCAGGAUCAAAUAACCUUGGCAUUUGGGGCUGUCUGAUGAUGAUCGGAAAAACAGCAGUAUGUUCUCCAAACAAAAAAUAUACUUUUUUUUUGAAAAAGUAUAAUCA